rnacentral:lncRNA from 1 species
GGGCCGGCUAUGCCUGCUGUGGUCGGAGGCGCCCGCCCUGCAGGUCUGCACAGCAGCCUGGCACAGGCACUACUGGAGCCAGAGGCUCGGGUGGCACAGGGCCGGGGGCCUGCCCAGAGCACCCCAGGCUGAAGGUCAGUGGUUUGCAGGGCUCACGGUCCAGUGCUGGUCGAGGCUUUGGGGGAAGGCUGGCUCGGAUAGGGCAGCGCUCAGGGGGAGGGCAGCUGUCCGAGGAGGGCCUCCCAGCGAGGCUGGGUCCCGUCCGCCUCAGGACAAACUGGACAUCGCUGGCAAACUGUCCGCAGGUCGCUUGGGCGCCCACAGGACAUUCCUGGGGUAGCAGCUGCCGCUCCUUCUCUCUGAGGCGCUGCACGAGCACAAAGCGGCCCGUCUGGCCUGGAGUCGGGGAGAGGGGUCAGUCAGCCCACAUCCCUUACCUUCAGUCCAUCUGGCUCGAGCAGCUGGGGGAAGGCAAGAGGAACCAGCAGCAGCCCCACCCUCCCGGGGUCCAGAUGGGGCCCCGAGGCCAGGCCCCACGCAAGCGCACCUGCUGGGCCGAUCUGUGCUCAGGAACUCACCUAUGGCUUGGGCUAGUGCAAUGACCACUUCUUGACAGGUGGUCUGCUCUGAAACCCCACAAACCACGCGCUGGAUGCCGUCCACCCACACCUUCAGCUCCAUGGCCGCCAGUCCUGAGAACAUGCCUGUCCUGCAGCGAGGGCGAGGGCCACGGGGUCAGGCCCCGCCUGGCCCCAACUCAGCUUGACCGGCUCUUCCUCCUCAGGCCUGCCCCGCACCCCGGAACUGGCUCGGGACUGCUGCCCCUCGGCAUCUGGUGCGCAGCCCCACACGGAGGCCGCACAUUCCUGGGGGUGGGGCAGCAAAGGCCAGUGCCCACCCCCCCCCAACAGAGAGGGCACCAGGGGGGACCCCCCCAGCGCUCGGAGGC